CGGCGAUUAUUGCACAAAGGCUACACCUGUUCCCAUGCCGAACACAGAAGUUAAGCUUUGUCACGCCGAUAGUAGUUGGGGGAUCGCCCCCUGUGAGGGUAGGUCGUUGCCG
rnacentral:rRNA from 1 species